AGGCCCAAAGAGAGAGGCAGGGUCUGAUCUGCAGCCUCCUUGGCAGCUGUUGAUCAGCCAUUGCCUCUCUCUCGCUGGGCU
rfam:Myotis lucifugus cont2.32056, whole genome shotgun sequence.